GAUGAACGCUGGCGGCGUGCCUAAUACAUGCAAGUCGAGCGAACGGACGAGAAGCUUGCUUCUCUGAUGUUAGCGGCGGACGGGUGAGUAACACGCGGAUAACCUACCUAUAAGACUGGGAUAACUUCGGGAAACCGGAGCUAAUACCGGAUAAUAUUUUGAACCGCAUGGUUCAAAAGUGAAAGACGGUCUUGCUGUCACUUAUAGAUGGAUCCGCGCUGCAUUAGCUAGUUGGUAAGGUAACGGCUUACCAAGGCAACGAUGCAUAGCCGACCUGAGAGGGUGAUCGGCCACACUGGAACUGAGACACGGUCCAGACUCCUACGGGAGGCAGCAGUAGGGAAUCUUCCGCAAUGGGCGAAAGCCUGACGGAGCAACGCCGCGUGAGUGAUGAAGGUCUUCGGAUCGUAAAACUCUGUUAUUAGGGAAGAACAUAUGUGUAAGUAACUGUGCGCAUCUUGACGGUACCUAAUCAGAAAGCCACGGCUAACUACGUG
rnacentral:rRNA from 1 species